CAUGUCUACAACAUUAAUGCAUCAUAUCCCAUUAGAGCUCCACAGUUAUGUGCACUUGGGAUAGAGUAUUACUAGGAUGGGUGACCUAUCGGGAAGUCCUAGUGUUUUACAUGC
rfam:Picea glauca, whole genome shotgun sequence.